rnacentral:rRNA from 1 species
UACGUAGGGUGCGAGCGUUAAUCGGAAUUACUGGGCGUAAAGCGUGCGCAGGCGGUGAUGUAAGACAGUUGUGAAAUCCCCGGGCUCAACCUGGGAACUGCAUCUGUGACUGCAUCGCUGGAGUGUGGUAGAGGGAGAUGGAAUUCCGCAUGUAGCAGUGAAAUGCGUAGAUAUGCGGAGGAACACCAAUGGCGAAGGCAAUCUCCUGGACCUGCACUGACGCUCAUGCACGAAAGCGUGGGGAGCAAACAGG